GAGUAAUGUCUGGGAAACUGCCUGAUGGAGGGGGAUAACUACUGGAAACGGUAGCUAAUACCGCAUAACGUCGCAAGACCAAAGAGGGGGACCUUCGGGCCUCUUGCCAUCGGAUGUGCCCAGAUGGGAUUAGCUAGUAGGUGGGGUAACGGCUCACCUAGGCGACGAUCCCUAGCUGGUCUGAGAGGAUGACCAGCCACACUGGAACUGAGACACGGUCCAGACUCCUACGGGAGGCAGCAGUGGGGAAUAUUGCACAAUGGGCGCAAGCCUGAUGCAGCCAUGCCGCGUGUAUGAAGAAGGCCUUCGGGUUGUAAAGUACUUUCAGCGGGGAGGAAGGGAGUAAAGUUAAUACCUUUGCUCAUUGACGUUACCCGCAGAAGAAGCACCGGCUAACUCCGUGCCAGCAGCCGCGGUAAUACGGAGGGUGCAAGCGUUAAUCGGAAUUACUGGGCGUAAAGCGCACGCAGGCGGUUUGUUAAGUCAGAUGUGAAAUCCCCGGGCUCAACCUGGGAACUGCAUCUGAUACUGGCAAGCUUGAGUC
rnacentral:rRNA from 1 species